rnacentral:rRNA from 1 species
GAUGAACGCUGGCGGCGUGCCUAAUACAUGCAAGUCGAGCGGACGGACGAGAAUCUUGCUUCUCUGAUGUUAGCGGCGGACGGGUGAGUAACACGUGGAUAACCUACCUAUAAGACUGGGAUAACUUCGGGAAACCGUAGCUAAUACCGGAUAAUAUUUUGAACCACAUGGUUCAAAAGUGAAAGACGGUCUUGCUGUCACUUAUAGAUGGUUCCGCGCUGAUUUAGCUAGUUGGGAAGGUAACGGCUUACCAAGGCAACUAUGCAUAGCCGACCUGAGAGGGGGAUAGGCGACACUGGAACUGAGACGCGGUCCAGACUCCUACGGGAGGCAGCAGUAGGGAAUGUUACGCAAUGGGCGAAAGCCUGACGGAGCAACGCCGCGUGAGUGAUGAAGGUCUUCGGAUCGUAAAACUCUGUUAUUAGGGAAGAACAUAUGUGUAAGUAAAUGUGCAGAUCUUGACGGUACCUAAUCAGAAAGCAACGGCUAACUACGUG